rnacentral:rRNA from 1 species
AUUGAACGCUGGCGGUAUGCUUAACACAUGCAAGUCGAACGGUAGCAGCUCUUCGGAGGCUGACGAGUGGCGGACGGGUGAGUAACGCGUAGGAAUCUGCCUAUUAGUGGGGGACAACGUGUGGAAACGCACGCUAAUACCGCAUACGCCCUACGGGGGAAAGGAGGGGAUCGUAAGACCUUUCGCUAAUAGAUGAGCCUGCGUUGGAUUAGCUAGUUGGUAGGGUAAAGGCCUACCAAGGCGACGAUCUAUAGCUGGUCUGAGAGGACGAUCAGCCACACUGGGACUGAGACACGGCCCAGACUCCUACGGGUGGCUG